ACGCCUAUCUGAAAGACGUCCUCACGCGACUGCCGACCCACAAGGCGGCCGACAUCGCCGAACUGCUCCCGCAUCGCUGGACGCCCAGCGCCACCUAGCUGGCAAGACGGGUUCACCGGGUGCUUACGCUUGAAAUUGGUAGCCCCGGACCUUACUCAACGCACCCGUCCGCACAUCGAGCCGGUCUGCAUACCCUAUGGAAUGUGGAUUAUUAGGGGGUAAAUAACAAUGUCACGGACACCGAACACCGAGAAAUCUCGGCGCCGUGAUGUUGAAAUGCCACACCACCCACCUGAAUUCAACAAAGUGUGGAUGUAAUUUAGGGGGGAGGAACUAACGAACGUUACGCACUGGCAGCCUAAGGGCCGCCGUCCUCGCACUGGCUCGCUGACGGGCUAGGGUCGCAAGACUAGCGAGGUCAUUUACGUCAGAUAAGCUUUAGGUGAGUCACGGGCCUAGAGACGAAAACCUAGUGAAUCGCCGUCGUAGAGCGUGUUCGUCCGCGAUGCGGCGGUUAAAUCAAAUGACAGAACUAAGUAUGUAGAACUCUCUGUGGAGGGCUUGCGGACGCGGGUUCGAUUCCCGCCGGCUCCACCA
rnacentral:tmRNA from 1 species